UUUGAUUGGUGAAGUUGUUGGGGCCCGUUUAAUUUCUCAUGCGGGCAGUCUCACAAAUUUGGCCAAGUGCCCUUCUUCCACCCUUCAGAUUCUUGGUGCGGAGAAAGCACUCUUCAGGGCUUUGAAAACAAGAGGAAACACUCCUAAAUAUGGUCUGAUUUUUCAUUCUUCUUUCAUUGGGCGAGCAUCUGCACGGAACAAAGGCCGAAUGGCUCGUUAUCUUGCAAAUAAAUGUUCUAUUGCAUCACGUAUUGAUUGCUUUGCAGAGAGCAGCACCACAACCUUUGGAGAAAAACUUCGUGAGCAAGUUGAAGAGCGCCUUGACUUUUAUGACAAGGGAAUAGCACCUCGUAAAAACAUAGAUGUUAUGAAAGCUGCAAUUGAAAGUGCUGAUAACAAAGCAACUGAUAUGGAA
rnacentral:misc_RNA from 1 species